rnacentral:rRNA from 1 species
CAACAGGGAUUGCCUCAGUAACGGCGAGUGAAGCGGCAACAGCUCAAAUUUGAAAUCUGGCGCAAGCCCGAGUUGUAAUUUGUAGAGGAUGCUUCUGGGUCGCGGCCGGUCUAAGUUCCUUGGAACAGGACGUCACAGAGGGUGAGAAUCCCGUAUGUGAUCGGCUUGCACCCUCCACGUAGCUCCUUCGACGAGUCGAGUUGUUUGGGAAUGCAGCUCUAAAUGGGAGGUAAAUGUCUUCUAAAGCUAAAUACCGGCCAGAGACCGAUAGCGCACAAGUAGAGUGAUCGAAAGAUGAAAAGCACUUUGGAAAGAGAGUUAAAAAGCACGUGAAAUUGUUGAAAGGGAAGCGCAUGCAACCAGACUUGUCGGCGGUGUUCCGCCGGUCUUCUGACCGGUCUACUCGCCGCCGACAGGCCAGCAUCGUCUGGGCGCGCCGGAGAAAGGCGCCGGGAAUGUAGCUCCUCGGAGUGUUAUAGCCCGGCGCACAAUACGGCGCCGCCCGGGCGAGGUCCGCGCUUCGGCUAGGAUGCUGGCGUAAUGGUUGCCUGCGACCCGUCUUGAAACACGGACCAAGGAGUCGACCAUCUGUGCGAGUGUUCGGGUGUCAAACCCCUACGCGUAAUGAAAGUGAACGGAGGUGGGAACGCAAGUGCACCAUCGACCGAUCCUGAUGUCCUCGGAUGGAUUUGAGUAAGAGCAUAGCUGGUCGGACCCGAAAGAUGGUGAACUAUGCCUGAAUAGGGUGAAGCCAGAGGAAACUCUGGUGGAGGCUCGCAGCGGUUCUGACGUGCAAAUCGAUCGUCAAAUUUGGGUAUAGGGGCGAAAGACUAAUCGAACCAUUAACCUAACCUACUAGGUGGUUAAGAGAUCAUUGGAUAUCUAGUCGGCUUCGGCCGCGAUACCGUCAAAUUGCGGGCACUUCUCGGAUCGCUUCGUCGACCGUCGGCCGGCCGAAAGGCUGAGUUCGACACCUCACUUUGCCGUGAGGGUAGGGUUGACGGGGCGAGAGAACACCUCGCAGCCAAGUCCGUCUCCACCCCCCGGGGUGGACGGACGCAGUCCACAGACUAAACGGCGGUGGGCGCCCCCCCGGGGCGUCUCAGAGAUAGUCGAAUCACACCUUCACCGGUGUGCACCUCAAUAA